rfam:Tilletiaria anomala TBC 951 K437scaffold_28, whole genome shotgun sequence.
GCCCUCUUAGCUCAGUGGCUAGAGCGUCUGCCUAGUAUUACUAACCCUGGAAGCGGGGUUGCUAGGAAGCAGAAGGUCACUAGUUCAAUUCUGGUAGAGGGCA